rnacentral:tRNA from 1 species
UCCCCCAUGGUCCAGUGGUAAAGGCUCUGCACUUUCAUUGCAGUGAGUCCAGGUUAGAUCUUGGUGAGGGAA